GUUAAGGUACGGGUANUAGUUAAUCCUGCUGAUAGUGACGUUACUGACAGAAGAAGCUUCCGGCUAACUCCGUGCCAGCAGCCGCAUUAAUACGGAGGGUGCGAGCGUUAAUCGGAAUUACUGGGCGUAAAGCGUACGCAGGCGGUUUGUUAAGCGAGAUGUGAAAGCCCCGGGCUCAACCUGGGAACUGCAUUUCGAACUGGCAAACUAGAGUGUGAUAGAGGGUGGUAGAAUUUCAGGUGUAGCGGUGAAAUGCGUAGAGAUCUGAAGGAAUACCGAUGGCGAAGGCAGCCACCUGGGUCAACACUGACGCUCAUGUACGAAAGCGUGGGGAGCAAACGGGAUUAGAUACCCCGGUAGUCCACGCCGUAAACGAUGUCUACUAGAAGCUCGGAGCCUCGGUUCUGUUUUUCAAAGCUAACGCAUUAAGUAGACCGCCUGGGGAGUACGGCCGCAAGGUUAAAACUCAAAUGAAUUGACGGGGGCCCGCACAAGCGGUGGAGCAUGUGGUUUAAUUCGAUCCAACGCGAAGAACCUUACCUACACUUGACAUACAGAGAACUUACCAGAGAUGGUUUGGUGCCUUCGGGAACUCUGAUACAGGUGCUGCAUGGCUGUCGUCAGCUCGUGUUGUGAGAUGUAUGGGUUAAGUCCCGCAACGAGCGCANACCCUAUCCUUAGUUGCUAGCAGGUAAUGCUGAGAACUCUAAGGAGACUGCCGGUGAUAAACCGGAGGCCGGUGGGGACGACGUCAAGUCAUCUGGGCCCUUACGUGUGGGGUACAACGUGCUACAUGGCGCAUACAAUGCUGAACUCGCGAGAGUAGCGAUCCUUAAGUGGUCUACCCGAUUGAUCUGCAUCGAUCCUGAAUCGCAACCA
rnacentral:rRNA from 1 species